rnacentral:ribozyme from 1 species
CCUGAAUGAAUGAAAGGGGAAAGAAAAAGAAAAAAACAGAAAAGGAACAUCUUAUGCGGCCUUUUGCUGCUUUAUCGUAUCUUU